AGAGAGAGACAUGCGCGCAUAUCAAUAAGCGGAGGAAAAGAAACUAACUAGGAUUCCCUCAGUAACGGCGAGUGAAGCGGGAAGAGCUCAAAUUUGAAAUCUUCAAGGUUCUACCUUGACGAAUUGUAGUUUAAAGAAGUGUUUUCUGUUGGAGUUUUGGUAAAAGUUCUUUGGAAUAGGACAUCAUAGAGGGUGAGAAUCCCGUAUUUGACCAUUAUUUCCAGCUUUGUGAUACACUUUCAAAGAGUCGGAUUGUUUGGGAAUGCAGUCCAAAAUGGGUGGUAAAUUUCAUCUAAAGCUAAAUAUUGGCGAGAGACCGAUAGCGAACAAGUACCGUGAGGGAAAGAUGAAAAGAACUUUGAAAAGAGAGUUAAACAGUACGUGAAAUUGUCAAAAGGGAAGCGUUUGACACCAGUGUUGUUUUCUCGAAAAUCAAUUAAAAAAGGCAGGAUUUUGUGUUGUAUUGACUUUAUCAGCUUUCUGCACUCUUUUCUUGUCCUUUUUAAUGCACUUUUCGUUUAACAAGUCAACAUCAAUUUCUUUUGUUGUAAAAGGGUCAUUGGAAGGUGGCUUUCUUUUCGGAGAAAGUGUUUAUAGCCUUUGGCCUCUGCAAUCGGAGAGAUUGAGGUCUGCAGCGUAGAUCCUUCGGGGUUAGAUACAUUUGUGCUAAGUUAUAGCCUUUCAUAGACAACUUGUUGACUAUGAUCAGUCAUGUAGCUUACUCGCUUAUGCUAUUUUACCUACGCUUAGGAUGUUGAUGUGAUACUGCGAGCA
rnacentral:rRNA from 1 species